rnacentral:rRNA from 1 species
GAUGAACGCUGGCGGCGUGCCUAACACAUGCAAGUGGAGCGACGAACCCGGACUUGUCCGGGGGCAAAGCCGCGAACGGGUGAGUAACACGUGGAUUAUCUGCCCCAAUGACCGGGACAACUCGAGGAAACUCGAGCUAAUACCGGAUGUGCUCUUCGGAGGAAAGGAAGCUUCGGCCUCCGCAUUGGGAUGAGUCCGCGGUGCAUUAGCUAGUUGGUGGGGUAAAGGCCCACCAAGGCGACGAUGCAUAGCUAGUCUGAGAGGACGAUCAGCCACACUGGGACUGAGACACGGUCCAGACGCCGACGGGAGGCAGCAGUGGGGAAUCUUGCGCAAUGCACGAAAGUGUGACGCAGCAACGCCGCGUGCGGGAAGAAGGUCUUCGGAUCGUAAACCGCUUUCAGUUGGGACGAGGGUUACACGGUGAAUAGCCGGCGUAACUGACGGUACCUUCAGAAGAAGCCCCGGCUAACUACGUGCCAGCAGCCGCCGUAA